UACGUAGGGUGCGAGCGUUGUCCGGAAUUAUUGGGCGUAAAGAGCUUGUAGGCGGUCUGUCGCGUCUGCUGUGAAAAUCCGGGGCUCAACCCCGGACUUGCAGUGGGUACGGGCAGACUAGAGUGUGGUAGGGGAGACUGGAAUUUCCGGUGGAGCGGUGAAAUGCAUUGAGAUCGGAAAGAACACCAACGGCGAAAGCACUCUGCUGGGCCGACACUGACACUGAGAGACGAAAGCUAGGGGAGCAAAUGGG
rnacentral:rRNA from 1 species